UGCGGGGGCGGCGCAGUUGCGAAACUGAUGCCUGUGUAGAUCAUCCUAGAAUACCUGUGUGGUGCUGUCCUUCCUCAAGACUACCUCAUUCUCACUGGCUCGGAGACUCCUGCCUGCUGAGUAGAGACAUGACCUAACACCCUGAUGACCACUCUCAGGGACCUUGAGUGACUGGCCGGUGCACCAUGGAACUUAAAGUAUGGGUGGAUGGAGUUCAG
rnacentral:lncRNA from 1 species